ACACUUCUCUUGACAGGAGGACGGGAAGGGUCAUAUAGCCUAGUAACUUUUGUUGUGAUAUCUAGGGAUGAAACGGUUACCGGACGGGAAGUAUUACCGUUUCAAAUUUUAAUUAUCAUUGAAACCGUGUUUGAUUACCACGGUUUGAAAAACUCACGGUAAAUACUGUCCAGCAUCAACCAAAGUUAGCAACAGUCUGACCCACGUGUGAAAACAUGGGAGAUUUUUGCCUUCUAAAAGGACUACAUCUGAAGUGUGGUCAUAUUUGGGGUUUUACAAGAGUGCUGAGAGAAACUUAAUCGAAGAUGGUCACCCUGUCUGCAGAACAUGCAAAAAAUAAAUUGCUGCGAAAGGGGGCAACACUUCAAAUCUCUUGAGUCAUCUUCUUGACCACAAACCACUACUUUAUAGCGAAUGCAAGAGAGGCGUGCAGCAUGCAAACCCAGUGAUGCUACUGGUCCCUCAUCUACAGUUGUGACACAGGCACUCGAGCAAGAAUUGAAAAGGCAGGCUCAUUAUGCACCCACUGCAGGCCUUUCAUAUUACAUUGCAAAGGACAUGAUGCCAUUUCAAAUGGUUGAGGCCUGGCUUUCUGAGGCUGAUGAAGGUUGCCGUGCCUCAUAUAAACAAGACCUGGUCUGCGUUACCACAGACAAUGCAACAAACAUGAUCAAGGCUUUUUACCACAGCGGUAUCGGAAAGGCUGGGUUGCUGAGAAAGAGUACCUCGCUGGCCAUGGCAGAACACUGUCAAUGACACCUGCAAUGACAACAGGCUCAGUCCGAUGAUGCUGUGACACACCGCCCCAGCCCAUGACGGAUCCUCCACCUCCAAAUCGAUCCCACUCCAGAGUACAGGCCUCGGUGUAACGCUCAUUCCUUCAACGAUAAAUGCGAAUCCAACCAUCACCCCUGGUGAGGAAAAAAACGCGACUCGUGAGUGAAGAGCACUUUUUGCCAGUCCUGUCUGGUCCAGCGAUGGUGGGUUUGUGCCCAUAGGCGACGUUGUUGCCGGUGAUGUCUGGUGAGGACCUGCCUUAAACAGGCCUACAAGCCCUCAGUCCAGCCUCCCUCAGCCUAUUGCGGACAGUCUGUGCACUGAUGGCGGGAUUGUGCAUUCCUGGUGUAACUCGGGCAGUUGUUGUUGCCAUCCUGUACCUGUCCCGCAGGCAGGUGUGAUGUUCAGAUGUACCGAUCCUGUGCAGGUGUUGUUACACAUGGUCUGCCACUGCGAGGACGAUCAGCUGUCCGUCCUGUCUCCCUGUAGCGCUGUCACCGCAGGUGUGUGUGAUGUAUGUGUGUGUCGUGUGUGUCCAGUUUGUGUCCAGUGUGUGUAUGUCCGAUGUGUGUUUUCCACUGUGUCCACACUGGACACACCUCUACAUACAAUUAAAAAAAAAAAAUAUUUACAUUUUUACCCCUUUUUUCUCCCCAAUUUCGUGGUAUCCAAUUGUUGUAGUAGCUACUAUCUUGUCUCAUCGCUACAACUCCCGUACAGGCUCGGGAGAGACGAAGGUUGAAAGUCAUGCGUCCUCCGAUACACAUAUAGAUUGUAUUGAGUAUACAGUCCACACCAUAUCUAUUUUGACAGUGAAGAUAACAUUUUAAAUGUGACUCUGUACUCCAGCAUUUUGGAUUUCAGAUCAAAUGUUUCAUAUGAGGUGACAGUAGAUAAUGUCACCUUUUAUUUGAGGGUAUUUCCAUACAUAUCUGUUUCACCGUUUCGAAAUCAAAGCACUUCAUGUAUCUAGUUCCCCUAUUUGAAUAAGUCGCACGUAUUCUGACCAAUUCACUUAUAGUGUAUUAAACUAGGGAAACGUUUACCUCUCAUGGCCACAUGGUGUCAUCUUCAUUGUUAAUGUUAUUAAUUUAAUGUUAAUGCACACAAAGUGCAUAGUGCUAAUAAUUUAAUUUGAUAGUUGUUGAUUUUUAAUAUUAAACUUGACUAAAUGA
ensembl:lncRNA